UGUUAAGUGGAAAAGGAUGUGGCGUUGCCCAGACAACUAGGAUGUUGGCUUAGAAGCAGCCAUCAUUUAAAGAGUGCGUAAUAGCUCACUAGUCGAGUGACACUGCGCCGAAAAUGUACCGGGGCUAAACAUAUUACCGAAGCUGUGGAUUGUCCUUUGGACAAUGGUAGGAGAGCGUUCUAAGGGCGUUGAAGCAUGAUCGUAAGGACAUGUGGAGCGCUUAGAAGUGAGAAUGCCGGUGUGAGUAGCGAAAGACGGGUGAGAAUCCCGUCCACCGAUUGACUAAGGUUUCCAGAGGAAGGCUCGUCCGCUCUGGGUUAGUCGGGUCCUAAGCUGAGGCCGACAGGCGUAGGCGAUGGAUAACAGGUUGAUAUUCCUGUACCACCUAUAAUCGUUUUAAUCGAUGGGGGGACGCAGUAGGAUAGGCGAAGCGUGCGAUUGGAUUGCACGUCUAAGCAGUAAGGCUGAGUAUUAGGCAAAUCCGGUACUCGUUAAGGCUGAGCUGUGAUGGGGAGAAGACAUUGUGUCUUCGAGUCGUUGAUUUCACACUGCCGAGAAAAGCCUCUAGAUAGAAAAUAGGUGCCCGUACCGCAAACCGACACAGGUAGUCAAGAUGAGAAUUCUAAGGUGAGCGAGCGAACUCUCGUUAAGGAACUCGGCAAAAUGACCCCGUAACUUCGGGAGAAGGGGUGCUCUUUAGGGUUAACGCCCAGAAGAGCCGCAGUGAAUAGGCCCAAGCGACUGUUUAUCAAAAACACAGGUCUCUGCUAAACCGUAAGGUGAUGUAUAGGGGCUGACGCCUGCCCGGUGCUGGAAGGUUAAGAGGAGUGGUUAGCUUCUGCGAAGCUACGAAUCGAAGCCCCAGUAAACGGCGGCCGUAACUAUAACGGUCCUAAGGUAGCGAAAUUCCUUGUCGGGUAAGUUCCGACCCGCACGAAAGGCGUAACGAUUUGGGCACUGUCUCAACGAGAGACUCGGUGAAAUCAUAGUACCUGUGAAGAUGCAGGUUACCCGCGACAGGACGGAAAGACCCCGUGGAGCUUUACUGUAGCCUGAUAUUGAAAUUCGGCACAGCUUGUACAGGAUAGGUAGGAGCCUUUGAAACGUGAGCGCUAGCUUACGUGGAGGCGCUGGUGGGAUACUACCCUAGCUGUGUUGGCUUUCUAACCCGCACCACUUAUCGUGGUGGGAGACAGUGUCAGGCGGGCAGUUUGACUGGGGCGGUCGCCUCCUAAAAGGUAACGGAGGCGCUCAAAGGUUCCCUCAGAAUGGUUGGAAAUCAUUCAUAGAGUGUAAAGGCAUAAGGGAGCUUGACUGCGAGACCUACAAGUCGAG
rnacentral:rRNA from 1 species